AUGAACGCUAGCUACAGGCUUAACACAUGCAAGUCGAGGGGCAGCAUGAACUUAGCUUGCUAAGUUUGAUGGCGACCGGCGCACGGGUGAGUAACACGUAUCCAACCUGCCGAUGACUCGGGGAUAGCCUUUCGAAAGAAAGAUUAAUACCCGAUGGCAUAGUUCUUCCGCAUGGUAGAACUAUUAAAGAAUUUCGGUCAUCGAUGGGGAUGCGUUCCAUUAGGUUGUUGGCGGGGUAACGGCCCACCAAGCCUUCGAUGGAUAGGGGUUCUGAGAGGAAGGUCCCCCACAUUGGAACUGAGACACGGUCCAAACUCCUACGGGAGGCAGCAGUGAGGAAUAUUGGUCAAUGGACGAGAGUCUGAACCAGCCAAGUAGCGUGAAGGAUGACUGCCCUAUGGGUUGUAAACUUCUUUUAUACGGGAAUAAAGUGAGGCACGUGUGCCUUUUUGUAUGUACCGUAUGAAUAAGGAUCGGCUAACUCCGUGCCAGCAGCCGCGGUAAUACGGAGGAUCCGAGCGUUAUCCGGAUUUAUUGGGUUUAAAGGGAGCGUAGGCGGACGCUUAAGUCAGUUGUGAAAGUUUGCGGCUCAACCGUAAAAUUGCAGUUGAUACUGGGUGUCUUGAGUACAGUAGAGGCAGGCGGAAUUCGUGGUGUAGCGGUGAAAUGCUUAGAUAUCACGAAGAACUCCGAUUGCGAAGGCAGCUUGCUGGACUGUAACUGACGCUGAUGCUCGAAAGUGUGGGUAUCAAACAGGAUUAGAUACCCUGGUAGUCCACACAGUAAACGAUGAAUACUCGCUGUUUGCGAUAUACAGUAAGCGGCCAAGCGAAAGCGUUAAGUAUUCCACCUGGGGAGUACGCCGGCAACGGUGAAACUCAAAGGAAUUGACGGGGGCCCGCACAAGCAGUGGAGUAUGUGGUUUAAUUCGAAGCAACGCGAAGAACCUUACCAGGUCUUGACAUCGAGUGACGAACUUAGAGAUAAGUUCUUCCUUCGGGACACGAAGACAGGUGGUGCAUGGUUGUCGUCAGCUCGUGCCGUGAGGUGUCGGCUUAAGUGCCAUAACGAGCGCAACCCUUAUCGAUAGUUACCAUCAGGUUAUGCUGGGGACUCUGUCGAGACUGCCGUCGUAAGAUGUGAGGAAGGUGGGGAUGACGUCAAAUCAGCACGGCCCUUACGUCCGGGGCUACACACGUGUUACAAUGGGGGGUACAGAAGGCAGCUACACGGCGACGUGAUGCUAAUCCCGAAAGCCUCUCUCAGUUCGGAUUGGAGUCUGCAACCCGACUCCAUGAAGCUGGAUUCGCUAGUAAUCGCGCAUCAGCCACGGCGCGGUGAAUACGUUCCCGGGCCUUGUACACACCGCCCGUCAAGCCAUGAAAGCCGGGGGUACCUGAAGUGCGUAACCGCAAGGAGCGCCCUAGGGUAAAACUGGUGAUUGGGGCU
rnacentral:rRNA from 1 species